UUUACCCUCCAAUUCUACACUGGCAAAGAGCUACUCCCAAGGAUCCUAAACGCCUCAGCACUGCCAGCUUGCCCUACCAAUAGGCCAAUUGUACUCCAGUGGUCAGAGAAGAUCUCCUAUGGAAUCUCACAUGCCUGCUGCACAAAGCAACAGAGUAGAUGAGCAGGAGAAUGGUGGGUACUGAGCAGAUACUGACAAGACAUCAACAGCACUUGCUACAUCUAAUUCCCAUUAGACUGAACUCCAAAAUACCAGUAUAUUUAUCAUCUGAACAAAAAAAUGAGGGAAGGGAGGGAAACUAUCCUUGUAUGAAAGAGAAUGCUGCAUGUGAAAGAAGACUAAAGCAACAUUAUUUUAAAAGAAAACUUCCGGGAUCCCUGGGUGGCGCAGCGGUUUAGCGCCUGCCUUUGGCCCAGGGCGCGAUCCUGGAGACCCGGAUCGAAUCCCACGUCGGGCUCCCGGUGCAUGGAGCCUGCUUCUCCCUCUGCCUGUGUCUCUGUCUCUCUCUCUGUGUGUGACUAUCAUAAAUAAAUAAAUAAAUUUAAAAAAAAAAUUUAAAAGAAAACUUCCUGGGGCACCUGGGUGGCUGAGUCAGUUAAGCCACUGGCUAUUGAUUUCAAGUCAUAAUCUCAGGGGAUGAAAGCCCCACACCAGGCUCUGUGCUCAGCAGGACUGCUUGAGAUUCUCUUCUUUUCCCUCUGCCCCAACCCACCCACACCCCAACACACAUGCUCUCUCACUCUCCCUCUCUCUAAAAGAAAAAAACUUCCUUUCAAUUUUCUUGGGCCUUUUAGAAAUUAAUAUUAGAUUAGAGCAAGGAUUGGCAUGCAAGGACCCUCAAGCCAGAUCCAACCUGCCAACUGUUUUUGCACAGCCCCAAAGCUAAAAAUGGUGUUUACAUUCUUAAAUGGUUGGGAAAAAGUAAGAAGACUAUUUCGUGACACAUGAAAUUUAUAUGAUAUUCAAAUUUCCUUGUCCAUGAAUAUUUAUUAGAACACAGCUACAUUCAUUCAUUUACAUAAUACCAAUGGCUAUGCUGUGGAUGGCAGGAUUGAGUAGUUCUGGCAUGGACCAUAUGGGCUUCAAGGCUUUAAAGUUUUCCUCUCUGGCCCUUCACAGAAAGUUUGCUGACUGUAAUUUAGAACCAGACUCACUCUCGGGGAAUCUUUAGGAUAAUAGUGAUCUCCUGGGUUAUGGGAAGGGAAUUAUCUCCUCCUUUUUUUAAGGAGAAUUGAAAUCCUUUAUUAGGCGUCAUCUGAGCUUCUUGGAUAAGGAUGACUGCUAUUUUUUCCACCCUAAACGGAUCAGAGUAGAACAAAUAGACAGUAUCCUAUUACUGCCGACAUAAAACUUGUGAUUUCUUGGUGGUAAAGCAUGUACUAAGGAAUGAGAUUCUUACAAAUAGUGAUAAAAAUGGAAUAAACUUUAAGAUUCAGAAUUCCUGUUUUCUCCAAUAUGAAAUGUAACACUUUGCAAACACCUGCCCCAUUUUGAGCUUUUCCAGACACAAAUUUACACUGAAAACUAACAUUUGAACCCCUGAAAAAGAGCUAAUUUUGAGACAGGAGAUGAAAAGAUACCACACCAAGGGGCAACUAGAAAAAAAGAGAGGUUGAUGUCAGCAGGUAAGAGAGAGUUUAAUUAAUAUUAUUUUAUCAUCAGGCAUGAAGCUAAUAAAUUACUGAAGGAAUAAAGACUUAUAUAAACGAUCGGACAUUAGAGCAAAAGAAUUAAAACUGGUAACUUUCAUCAGAUCCUAAGGGAAUCCAGUAUGCCAUGUUUAAGCUGGCACCUAACCACAUGGUUGCUUUUUCAGUCAUGGAGGCAGGGACUAGAUAUGUAAACCAAGUUUUUUUCCAGGGAGUGUUUCAAUGUUCUAUGGGCAUGCUAUAAAUCAGCAUCGUGUCCCUCAGGAUGUCAAAGUCCAUUCUCAACGCCUUGUUUACAGGAGAACAUCAGUAUUCUCUGGGCACACACGUCAAUGUGAAGAGAACUUUAAAUAGCACAAGAGAAAAGUGUUCUUGGUAGUCACACAGCCUAUGAUAAACUUUGAAGUACAAAUGAGAAGUGGAAGUGAAUGUUAAACGUAUGCCUUGUCCUAAAACUUCAUGAAAAAUGAAAUGUACAAGAAAAGUUGGAUCCCUGCCAUGACACCCAUUACAGUGUAGACUAAGGCUCUGACCUUUUGUGUUAUACUUACUGUGUUUUUGACACAUUUAGUCAAUUAAAACGGGUGAAGUGUAAUUUGUUUUUCUUAAGUUUAAUACAGCAUGUCAAUAGAAGUUAACCAAAAUUUAUAGUUGGAACACUAAAGCUGCCACAUGCACUUAAACAAAUGAACACAAUUUAUCAUGGUUGAAAUAAAGAGAACAUCACGGGCAUUUGACUUUAUACUUCACAUAAGCGUGUUGCCAAAUAUAGGAAAGCAAGCUCCUUCUCACACUUCCAAUGGAAAAGACAUUUUAGUUCACAUUAAAUAUUGGUGUGAAAAAUCUGGCAGGUAUCCAGUCCUAAGGAGUGUUAACGUUGGCACUUCCACUGUGUACUUUUACUAUAAAUUGUUGUAGCGUUUAUUUGACAUGGAAUACCCAAAGGAUUGAUGAGCAAAGAAAGGAAGAUUUUUUUUAUUGUGCCAUAUUACCUUUUUCAGACAUCUAUACUAAGUCUUUACAUCUUCAAAGUCUAAACAAGUAGCCACCUGUAUUCAAUCGGUGCAAGAUAUUUUUCAUGAAACUAUAGCUUGCCUUUUUAUAAACCUAUAAAAGCACACAUUUUCCAUUUUAUUAGACAGCAAAGCAGUGGUGGAUUUAAUAAUAA
rnacentral:lncRNA from 1 species